CGGGGUGGCCCUCGGUGGGCACGGGGACCAGGAAGGCCUGUCCCCCCAGCGGGCACGUAGACCUGGGAGGCCGGUCCCUCCGCGGGCAAGAGAACCAGCGAGGCCUGUCUCCUCUGAGGACACGGGGGACCUUGGAGCCGGACCCUCAGCGGCCACGAGGACCACAGCGGCCUGUGACUCCGGAAACAACGGGACCGUGGGGAGGCCUAUCCAUCCUUGGCAUUGGGUCCGUGGGGUGAACCAUCCUGUCGGAAAAUCUCUGCUGAGCACCUCAUCUUCCUGCAGCAUUUCUGGAUGCCUCAGACAGCGUCAUUGCCAAACCAUCCUUGCAAGGGCAAAAGCCUUGGAACUUAAAUGCAUCCAGAUGGUGGACCUUGGACCUCGGAGGACAUAGCCAGAAGUCAGUGAUGUUUCCUUGAUACAUUAAAUGUUAAUAUGUUAAAACUUAAA